rnacentral:lncRNA from 1 species
CCCACUGGGCUCACCUACAUUUCAGGGGUAUCCUGGGACUGAGGCAGAGGCUUUCACCUGGGGCAAUAUUAACACUCAGCAAAAUUAGGAAGGAGGAUGAAGGAAUCAGCAUGGUGGAGUGGAAAUAUGGUGCACAUUUAGUCAAAAAGAUUUGGAUCUGAAUUCAUAGCCGUGUGGCCUGGGGCAAGUUGUGAAGAGGGGAUGGUGCCAUCUGCUUUACAGGAGAGAAAUCUAGAAGUGGAAUUGCUGAGCUGUAGAGUAUGUGAAUCUCUACAACUUUCAACUUUACCAUGUAUUGUCAAAUUGCUCUCCAAAGUGAUGGUACCAAUUAAUGAUACUACCAAUAAGGAUCUCAACAGGACAAACACAAAGAAAAUAUCAAGGUGCAUCAUAGACAAAUUAUUGAAAAUCAGCAAUAAGGAGAAAACCUUAAAAACAGCAAGAUAAAAAGAUGCAUUAUGUGUAAAAUUAAAAAAGAAAACAAUGAUUGCUGAAUUCUUAUCAUACCAAUGCACAAAAGACAACAGAACAAUAUCUUUAAUGUGUGAAAAGUAAAAAAAAAAAUGUCAAACUAAGUUUUACAUUCAGGAAAAAUAUUCUUUGAAAAUAGAAGACAAUGAGAUUUCUGAUUUGUGGUUAUCACUCCCAUUCUCAUAAUAAGAAAAAAUCUGAAAAAACUGGAAAUCCACAACUCUUCUUAAAAUUGAGGUAACAGGGCAAGCCACUACCUUGAAUAUUAGAGACAGGAAGAUACAAAGAAUUCAGCUUAAAGAAAGAAGGAAGCCUUGGAGGAGAAGCCUGGUGCUGGAGCCUGUACCACUUUCCACAACAUCAACUGUGCUACUGUAUAAUAACAGGGCAUUAUAGCCAAAGAACUGUAAGCCUCAGACCCUAUUUAAGGAAGAGUCUCCAGGGAAAUCUAAAAAUAACAGGGAAGACUAAAACAAGGACACCCAGAGAAAAUGCUAGCCUUUGAUAUGUACAGCUAUAGCAACUGGCAAACACAAUGUAACUCCUAGCCAGAUCAACAUUGAACCUCACACAAAAGGUCUAUUUACUUCAUUUCCUUCUAAUUGAUACAUCCUCUCAGGCUGUCAGCAAAAAACUAGAAGACGUGAAAAUGCAAAAACUCUGUCUGAAGAGAGAAAGCAUGCCUUAGACUCAGACUGGCAGAAAUUUUGAGUGAUCAAACCAGAUAUUUAAAAUAACUAUGAUUAAAAUGCUAGCAGAAUGGAAAAAGUAAACAACAUGCACAAAUGGAAGGCAAAACAAAGACAUUUUCAAAUAAGCAAAAGGUGAUAGAAUGUGUCAUCCACAGACCUGCACUAUAAAAAAUGGUAGAGGAAGUUCUUCAGUAUGAAAGUGAAUGAUACCAGAUGGAAACUGAGAUCUACAAAAUGAAACAUCACUGGAAAUAGUAAAUACAUGGAGAAAGGCUCAGUCUAGCAGCAGAGCAAACUGGACAUUUUCUCACCAUUUGUUUCACCAGAGAAAGGAAGGGACAGCAACUUGGAGUCUGGAGCUGACGCAGAGGAUGUUUCUUGAUAUCUUCAACUUGAACCUGUCUCACUUGACAGAUUUAUGCUGCCAGAGUGGUUCUUCUAGUAAGAAGCCCCUUGCCAUCAGACACUGCAUUUCACUUGGUGAUUUUCCAGACUCCUCAAAUCUUUUAUGGAAAGAGAGUUUCACCUGCCACCUGGAUCAUUUCCUAUUUUUCUGCAGCCACUUCAGGGCGGGGACCCAGUAUCACGAAGCUGCAAGCUUUGCUGCCAGUUUUCCAUCCAUCCCCCGGGGCUGAGAUGAGGUGAGAGGCCGCAAAUCCUAUCUAUGAAGAUAGGCACUUCCAUUCAUUCUGAAGUCCUCACAUAGUAGUUAUUCAGUGAAUGUACCCUGGGAUCCACUUUUCACCUUUCCCCUUACCUGCUUUGUGCUUCAAGAAACUGACUUCAACAGACAGCAUCAUCUGGGCUUCUUUACCCUGUAGUGUUCAGCUGAGUUCAGCCAAUGGAAGACACUAGUAGAAGACUGGAAGGAUAGAGGAGAGAAAGAUUGGAAUAUUUAUUCCCAUCUCAUACUACAGUUUUUGUAGUGAUGGUUCUUCCUAUUGGACAGCUUCCACCUAUAACUACAGUUCUCUCCUGGUUCCAGAAACUGCUUUCUCCACUUCUGACCUAGGAGUAGCCACAGCUCCCAGCUGUUGUUAGACCCCAGGUGUAUUUUGUCAUCUCUUGUUACUUCCCUUAACCCUGCCACAGCUCUGAAAAUAGUCCAGUAAUUAAAUACUUUUUGAGCUAUU